GACGAACGCUGGCGGCGUGCUUAACACAUGCAAGUCGAACGGAAAGGCCCUGCUUUUGUGGGGUGCUCGAUUGGCGAACGGGUGAGUAACACGUGAGUAACCUGCCCUUGACUUUGGGAUAACUUCAGGAAACUGGGGCUAAUACCGGAUAGGAUCUCCUGCUGCAUGGUGGGGGUUGGAAAGUUUCGGCGGUUGGGGAUGGACUCGCGGCUUAUCAGCUUGUUGGUGGGGUAGUGGCUUACCAAGGCUUUGACGGGUAGCCGGCCUGAGAGGGUGACCGGCGACAUUGGGACUGAGAUACGGCCCAGACUCCUACGGGAGGCAGCAGUGGGGAAUAUUGCACAAUGGGCGGAAGCCUGAUGCAGCAACGCCGCGUGCGGGAUGACGGCCUUCGGGUUGUAAACCGCUUUCGCCUGUGACGAAGCGUGAGUGACGGUAAUGGGUAAAGAAGCACCGGCUAACUACGUG
rnacentral:rRNA from 1 species